rnacentral:lncRNA from 1 species
AGAUCAUUAUGGGCAGGCUAGUUGGCCAAGAUUGAAUUAAAUAUGAUUGAAAUUCAACAGCAAAAACUUUAAUUGCUUGACUGGAUUUUCUCAAGUGGGAUUUAAUUCUCUUUUUAAAUGAACAAGAGAGAAGGGAUAGGAUUCCAUCGAAAGCCAUGAUCUUUCUGCUUUCAAAUACUUUUCUCCUCCUUGGCACCCACCGCACACGGAUCGCACACUGUCAUCACACCGUGUGCGGCCACCUUGCAUGAUCGUGAGCCCACAUCUAUCCCAUCUUCCCUUUCAAUGAAGCCACCAACUUGUUUUUUUUUGUUUUCUUGUUUUUUGUUAAGUGGGCAAAGCUUUCAUUUGCUGAAAACUUGACUCGCGUAAAUGUUUAUUUGCUAGAUAUUUUGAAUGUGACUCAAUGCGCACUCGUCUAAGAUGAAAACUUACAAUAAAGUAGAUAGAUAGACGAAGAAAAUCCAAACAAGAGGUUAAAUCAUUCGCUAGCAGUAAUCAAAGAACAAGGGUGAUUGUUUUGACGAACGAGGGAAGUAGUUGAUGAUCAAGAAACGAUGAGCAUAGUCAAAGGCACAUGAUUAAAGAUAUUGGAAAAGCUAGAAAAGUAGAAUCUCCUCUCCAAGACCUGCACAUUAAUAAAGAUUACGUUGAGGGAAAGAAGCAAGUAGAAGUG